UAUUAGAACGAAAGAAAACGGGACACACACACUAAAACAAAGCGACGAAGAAGCUCAACAAAGACCCCCAGUAUGAUCGCGAAAACUUCAAAAAAUAUGCAAAACCCAUAAAUCACAAAGAGAUAACGCGAAACACGAGUGCGAAAUACAGCAAUAGUACUGGAAGAAUCAAACAAAAAAACGCGCACCAACCCCAGAAAAAAGGACUAAGAAGUAAACAUCGCUAAUAAAACACAAAAGGAUAAAGCGAACACAAAAAAUAUAGUACAUAGAGAGAAAUAAUGAAAAAAGCACCCGACGAGGAGAGAGAAAAAAAGCUUUUCCUGAAACCGAACACUGACACAGUACCCUAACGAAACACAGUCAGGUAGGGCCUCAAAGAGCCAUGAUCGGCGUACCUUUUGUAUAUAAUUGGGUUCAACGACUUUUGGUCUGACGGAGCAAGCUAUGAAGACCCAUAGAAAAGAUUAAGUAGAGAGUCAGUAAAGCUGAAAAAACAGCAAGAAGUCUAUAAAAAGGACGUUUAGAUCGUAAGCGGCAUCAGGCUGAACCCGAAAAUACCAAGCAUAUCUAGCCAUGAAGCAGAGCGUAUUGAAGGUAAGGUACACACUUACUGGACCGGUCACCGUAACCACCCCCUGCUCUCCAAAGGGUGCCGGAAACUUCGGAACUAUAGUGGCUUAACGGAGUGCAGCCAUCAAGGGGCUAAUCAAAUCUGGAGAUAGCCUGGUUCUCGCGCGCCGACACAACGUUCCUAUUUCUAGGCCCCUUCCCUCCCCCUCGCUCAGCGCCCUGACGGCACGCACCUACCUACCUGGAUCGCGCAACCCCACCCAAACACCGACUUUAGAGCAUCCUAAAAACCGAACCCAAUGGUGAUGGGAGUGUAACCCAACAGUACUAUACCUCGAAGACCUAUAAGUAAACUCCAGAAAUAACACCCGAUAGACCUACUCUAUCCCUCCGCGGAGACACAACACGAGUGCCUCAAACGAGUCCGUGUUGAAUGAGCGGGAAACAAACCCUGGACCUACCAGCUAAAGGCCCCUAAUUCGUGGCUAAGUGGGAAAGCAUGUGGGAUUUUCCAAAACCAACCAGGAGGUUGGCUUAGAAGCAGCCAUCCUUUAAAGAUAGCGUAACAAGCUCCACUGGUCUAGUUAAGAAUCCUGCGGCGAAGAUGUAACGGGGCUUCAAGCCACGAAGCCGAAGCUUAGAUGCACAGCAACAUGUUGCGUGGUAGCGGAGGCGUUCUGUGAUAUAGCACCAGUCCGACCCUUUAGCUUUCCGCGAGGAAAGUCAUUGGUCGGGAAGGGUGCUUACUGUGAAGCCGGGGCCGUGAACGGCAUUCCGGUGGACGUUUGCAUCAGAAGCUGAGAAUGUGACAUGAGUAGCGACAAACAGGGUGAGAGACCCUGUCGCCGUAAGUCCAAGGUUUUCCUGCUUAAGUAAUCUGAGCAGGGUGAAGCCCGACCCCCUAAGGCGAGGCCGAAAGGCGUAGUCGAUGGGAAACCAGGUUAAUAUUCCUGGGGCCAGGAGGAUGUGACGGAUUUCGAAGGUUGGUCUUGCCCCCUUAUCGGAUUGGGUGGCGGCUUAGAGGUUCCUGGAAAUACCCUCCAUAGAUCGCUACCCUAAACCGACACAGGUGGACUGUAGAGAAUACCAAGGGUCGGCUUGAGAGAACCACGUUUAAGGAACUCGGCAAAAUGCUCCCGUAAGUUCGCGAGAAGGGAGCCCCGUCUGUAGGGCAACUAUGGGCGGGGCACAGACCAGGGGGUGGCGACUGUUUACUUAAAACACAGGGCUGUGCGAAGCCGUAAGGCGACGUAUACAGUCUGACGGCCUGCCCGGUGCUGGAAGGUUAAAAAGGGCAGGGGUGCAAGCUCCGAAAUUGAAGCCCCAGUAAACGGCGGCCGUACUAUAACGGUCCUAAGGUAGCGAAAUUCCUUGUCGGGUAAGUUCCGACCUGCAACGAAUGGCGUAAACGAUCUCCCCGCUGUCUCAAACGUGGACUCAGCGAAAUUGAAACUGUGUGUCAAGAUGCAACACUUCCCGCGGUUAGACGAAAGACCCCCAUGCACCUUUACUAUAGCUUCCGCACUGGCAUCAGGAUUGUGAUGUGCAGGAUAGGUGGUAGGCUUUGAAGCGGGAACGCUAGUUUCCGUGGAGCCUCCACUUGAGAAUACCACCCUUCGCACUCUUGAUGUCUAACCGCGGUCCGUUAUUCCGGAUCCGGGACCCUGCGUGGUGGGGUAGUUUGCUGGGCGGUCGCCUUCCCAAAAGUAACGGAGGAGGCGCGCGAAGGUUGGCUUCAGAGCGGUCGGAAAUCGCUCGUUGAGUGCAAUGGCAGAAGCCAGCCUGGACUGCGAGACUGACAAGUCGAGCAGAGUCGAAAAGACGGCCAUAGUUGAUCCGGUGGUCCCCAGUGGCGAGGGCCAUCGCUCAACGGAUAAAAGGUACGCUGGGGGAUCAACAGGCUGAUGAUGCCCAAGAGUCCAUAUCGACGGCAAUCGUUUGGCACCUCGAUGUCGGCUUUCAUCUCAUCCCUGGGGCUGGAGCAGGUCCCAAGGGUAUGGCUGUUCCGCCAUUUAAAGAGGUACGUGAGCUGGGUUUAGAACGUCGUUGAGACAGUUCGGUCCCUAUCUGCCGUGGGUGUAGGAAUACUUGAGAGGAGUUUGCCCUAGUACGAGAGGACCGGGGUGAACGUUCCAACUGGUGGACCAAGUUUUGUCGUGCCAACGGCCAGUGCUGGGUAGCUAUGAACGGACAGGAUAACCGCUGAAGGCAUCUAAAGCGGAAGCCCCCCUCAAAACCAGGUUAUCCCUUGAGAGCCGGUGUGGGAUAGUGUACGACCAUCUUCGAUUAGGCCGUUGAGAUGUAAAAGUGCGGACAGCAAUUUGCGUUCAGGUGGACCGC
rnacentral:rRNA from 1 species